rnacentral:rRNA from 1 species
GACGAACGCUGGCGGCGUGCCUAAUACAUGCAAGUCGAGCGGAGUUAGAGAAGCUUGCUUCUCUAACUUGGCGGCGGACGGGUGAGUAACACGUGGGCAAUCUGCCCGUAAGACUGGGAUAACUCCGGGAAACCGGGGCUAAUACCGGAUAAUCCUGACUCUCUCCUGAGAGUCAGUUGAAAGAUGGUCUCGGCUAUCACUUACGGAUGAGCCCGCGGCGCAUUAGCUAGUUGGUAGGGUAAUGGCCUACCAAGGCGACGAUGCGUAGCCGACCUGAGAGGGUGAUCGGCCACACUGGGACUGAGACACGGCCCAGACUCCUACGGGAGGCAGCAGUAGGGAAUCUUCCGCCAUGGACGAAAGUCUGACGGAGCAACGCCGCGUGAGUGAAGAAGGUUUUCGGAUCGUAAAACUCUGUUGUUAGGGAAGAACACGUACGAGAGUAACUGCUCGUACCUUGACGGUACCUAACCAGAAAGCCACGGCUAACUACGUG